rnacentral:rRNA from 1 species
GUGUCAGCAGCCGCGGUAAUACGUAGGGGGCAAGCGUUGUCCGGAAUCAUUGGGCGUAAAGCGCGUGUAGGCGGCUCGGUAAGUCCGCUCUGAAAGUCCAGGGCUCAACCCUGGGAUGCGGGUGGAUACUGCCGGGCUCGAGUCCGGAAGAGGCGAGUGGAAUUCCCGGUGUAGCGGUGAAAUGCGCAGAUAUCGGGAGGAACACCAAUGGCGAAGGCAGCUCGCUGGGACGUGACUGACGCUGAGACGCGAAAGCGUGGGGAGCAAACAGGAUUAGAAACCCUCGUAGUCC